CCUACAGGAGGCAGCAGUGGGGAAUAUUGCACAAUGGGGGAAACCCUGAUGCAGCGACGCCGCGUGAAGGAAGAAGGUCUUCGGAUCGUAAACUUCUAUCAGCAGGGAAGAAGAAAGUGACGGUACCUGAAUAAGAAGCCCCGGCUAACUACGUGCCAGCAGCCGCGGUAAUACGUAGGGGGGAAGCGUUAUCCGGAAACACUGGGUGUGAAGGGUGCGUAGGCGGUAGGGCACGUCAGAUAUGAAAGCCCGGAGCUCAACACCGGGAGGGCAUAUGAAACUGUCUUACUAGAGUGCAGGAGAGGGAAGCGGAAUUCCUAGUGGAGCGGUGAACUGCGUAGUUAUUAGGAAGAACACCAGUGGCGAAGGCGGCUUUCUGGACUGUAACUGUCGCUGAGGCACGAAAGCGUGGGGAGCGAAUAGGAUUAGAUACCCGAGUAGUC
rnacentral:rRNA from 1 species